AACGAACGCUGGCGGCGUGCCUAACACAUGCAAGUCGUGCGAGAAAGUCUCCUUCGGGAGGCGAGUAAAGCGGCGCACGGGUGAGUAACACGUGGGUAACCUGCCUUUGAGACUGGGACAACCCAGGGAAACCCGGGCUAAUACCAGAUACGGCCUCGGGAUCUUCGGAUCCUGAGGCGAAAUGAUGGCCUAUGCUUGCAAGCCAUCGCUCGAAGAUGGGCCCGCGGCCCAUUAGCUAGUUGGUGGGUAACGGCUCACCAAGGCAAUGAUGGGUAGCUGGUCUGAGAGGAUGAUCAGCCACACUGGGACUGAGACACGGCCCAGACUCCUACGGGAGGCAGCAGUGGGGAAUUUUGGGCAAUGGGCGAAAGCCUGACCCAGCAACGCCGCGUGCAGGAUGAAGGCCCUCGGGUCGUAAACUGCUGUCGGGA
rnacentral:rRNA from 1 species